rnacentral:rRNA from 1 species
GACGAACGCUGGCGGCGUGCCUAAUACAUGCAAGUAGAACGCUGUGGCGAACGGGUGAGUAACGCGUAGGUAACUGCCUCAUAGCGGGGGAUAACUAUUGGAAACGAUAGCUAAUACCGCAUACUGUGAGAUGGACCUGCGUUGUAUUAGCUAGGUGGUGAGGUAAAGGCUCAACAAGGCGACGAUACAUAGCCGACGUGUGAGGGUGAUCGGCCACACUGGGACUGGGACACGGCCCAGACGGAUACGGGAAGCAGCCGGAGGGCAUCUUCGGGAAGUGACGGGGGUCUGAGCGAGCAAGGCCGCGGGAGUGAAGAGGGUUUUCGGGUCGGAAAGCAAUGUUGUUAGAGAAGCGGUAACUAAACAGAAAGGGACGGCUAACUACGUGCCAGCAGCCGCGGUAAUAC